rnacentral:rRNA from 1 species
AGCGUACACGGUGGAUGCCCUGGCAGUCAGAGGCGAUGAAGGACGUGCUAAUCUGCGAUAAGCGUCGGUAAGGUGAUAUGAACCGUUAUAACCGGCGAUUUCCGAAUGGGGAAACCCAGUGUGAUUCGUCACACUAUCAUUAACUGAAUCCAUAGGUUAAUGAGGCGAACCGGGGGAACUGAAACAUCUAAGUACCCCGAGGAAAAGAAAUCAACCGAGAUUCCCCCAGUAGCGGCGAGCGAACGGGGAGCAGCCCAGAGCCUGAAUCAGUGUGUGUGUUAGUGGAAGCGUCUGGAAAGGCGCGCGAUACAGGGUGACAGCCCCGUACACAAAAAUGCACAUGCUGUGAGCUCGAUGAGUAGGGCGGGACACGUGGUAUCCUGUCUGAAUAUGGGGGGACCAUCCUCCAAGGCUAAAUACUCCUGACUGACCGAUAGUGAACCAGUACCGUGAGGGAAAGGCGAAAAGAACCCCGGCGAGGGGAGUGAAAAAGAACCUGAAACCGUGUACGUACAAGCAGUGGGAGCACAGAGCAAUCUGUGUGACUGCGUACCUUUUGUAUAAUGGGUCAGCGACUUAUAUUCUGUAGCAAGGUUAACCGAAUAGGGGAGCCGAAGGGAAACCGAGUCUUAACUGGGCGUUAAGUUGCAGGGUAUAGACCCGAAACCCGGUGAUCUAGCCAUGGGCAGGUUGAAGGUUGGGUAACACUAACUGGAGGACCGAACCGACUAAUGUUGAAAAAUUAGCGGAUGACUUGUGGCUGGGGGUGAAAGGCCAAUCAAACCGGGAGAUAGCUGGUUCUCCCCGAAAGCUAUUUAGGUAGCGCCUCGUGAAUUCAUCUCCGGGGGUAGAGCACUGUUUCGGCAAGGGGGUCAUCCCGACUUACCAACCCGAUGCAAACUGCGAAUACCGGAGAAUGUUAUCACGGGAGACACACGGCGGGUGCUAACGUCCGUCGUGAAGAGGGAAACAACCCAGACCGCCAGCUAAGGUCCCAAAGUCAUGGUUAAGUGGGAAACGAUGUGGGAAGGCCCAGACAGCCAGGAUGUUGGCUUAGAAGCAGCCAUCAUUUAAAGAAAGCGUAAUAGCUCACUGGUCGAGUCGGCCUGCGCGGAAGAUGUAACGGGGCUAAACCAUGCACCGAAGCUGCGGCAGCGACGCUUAUGCGUUGUUGGGUAGGGGAGCGUUCUGUAAGCCUGCGAAGGUGUGCUGUGAGGCAUGCUGGAGGUAUCAGAAGUGCGAAUGCUGACAUAAGUAACGAUAAAGCGGGUGAAAAGCCCGCUCGCCGGAAGACCAAGGGUUCCUGUCCAACGUUAAUCGGGGCAGGGUGAGUCGACCCCUAAGGCGAGGCCGAAAGGCGUAGUCGAUGGGAAACAGGUUAAUAUUCCUGUACUUGGUGUUACUGCGAAGGGGGGACGGAGAAGGCUAUGUUGGCCGGGCGACGGUUGUCCCGGUUUAAGCGUGUAGGCUGGUUUUCCAGGCAAAUCCGGAAAAUCAAGGCUGAGGCGUGAUGACGAGGCACUACGGUGCUGAAGCAACAAAUGCCCUGCUUCCAGGAAAAGCCUCUAAGCAUCAGGUAACAUCAAAUCGUACCCCAAACCGACACAGGUGGUCAGGUAGAGAAUACCAAGGCGCUUGAGAGAACUCGGGUGAAGGAACUAGGCAAAAUGGUGCCGUAACUUCGGGAGAAGGCACGCUGAUAUGUAGGUGAAGUCCCUCGCGGAUGGAGCUGAAAUCAGUCGAAGAUACCAGCUGGCUGCAACUGUUUAUUAAAAACACAGCACUGUGCAAACACGAAAGUGGACGUAUACGGUGUGACGCCUGCCCGGUGCCGGAAGGUUAAUUGAUGGGGUUAGCGCAAGCGAAGCUCUUGAUCGAAGCCCCGGUAAACGGCGGCCGUAACUAUAACGGUCCUAAGGUAGCGAAAUUCCUUGUCGGGUAAGUUCCGACCUGCACGAAUGGCGUAAUGAUGGCCAGGCUGUCUCCACCCGAGACUCAGUGAAAUUGAACUCGCUGUGAAGAUGCAGUGUACCCGCGGCAAGACGGAAAGACCCCGUGAACCUUUACUAUAGCUUGACACUGAACAUUGAGCCUUGAUGUGUAGGAUAGGUGGGAGGCUUUGAAGUGUGGACGCCAGUCUGCAUGGAGCCGACCUUGAAAUACCACCCUUUAAUGUUUGAUGUUCUAACGUUGACCCGUGAUCCGGGUUGCGGACAGUGUCUGGUGGGUAGUUUGACUGGGGCGGUCUCCUCCUAAAGAGUAACGGAGGAGCACGAAGGUUGGCUAAUCCUGGUCGGACAUCAGGAGGUUAGUGCAAUGGCAUAAGCCAGCUUGACUGCGAGCGUGACGGCGCGAGCAGGUGCGAAAGCAGGUCAUAGUGAUCCGGUGGUUCUGAAUGGAAGGGCCAUCGCUCAACGGAUAAAAGGUACUCCGGGGAUAACAGGCUGAUACCGCCCAAGAGUUCAUAUCGACGGCGGUGUUUGGCACCUCGAUGUCGGCUCAUCACAUCCUGGGGCUGAAGUAGGUCCCAAGGGUAUGGCUGUUCGCCAUUUAAAGUGGUACGCGAGCUGGGUUUAGAACGUCGUGAGACAGUUCGGUCCCUAUCUGCCGUGGGCGCUGGAGAACUGAGGGGGGCUGCUCCUAGUACGAGAGGACCGGAGUGGACGCAUCACUGGUGUUCGGGUUGUCAUGCCAAUGGCACUGCCCGGUAGCUAAAUGCGGAAGAGAUAAGUGCUGAAAGCAUCUAAGCACGAAACUUGCCCCGAGAUGAGUUCUCCCUGACUCCUUGA